GACGAACCGUCCAAACGUUAUUCGGUAUCACUGGGCUUAAAGCGUGCGUAGGCGGCCUGGUAGGUGAGAUGUGAAAGCCCACGGCUCAACCGUGGAAUUGCGUUUCAAACCACCAGGCUUGAGGAUGGCAGGGGUGAUGGGAACUGAUGGUGGAGCGGUGAAAUGCGUUGAUAUCAUCAGGAACACCGGUAGCGAAGGCGCAUCACUGGGCCAUUUCUGACGCUGAGGCACGAAAGCUAGGGUAGCGAACGGGAUUAGAUACCCGGGUA
rnacentral:rRNA from 1 species